rnacentral:lncRNA from 1 species
UAAAUAAUUAUCAUAUUAUUAUCGGGGUGUUACAGCUCUCGCCACAGAGAUCAUACUAGUGUUGUCGCAACCGCCAUUAACCCGGUCUCCCCUAUUUUCUAUCCACCUUUUUAGCCACAACCUCCACAAUUUUAGCCAUGAAUUCCACUUACCUUUUCAACCAACGAAUGCUAAAUUUAAGGGAAGUGAAAAGUAUAUAAAGGAGGGUCG